AUGUUAGAGCAAAUGCUCCCAAUGGGAAAGAGGAUAAUUUGGCUGUUCUGUUUAUUGGUUUGCAUGAUUUCUUGGUCCCACACUCCAGCACUUCUGUUUCUCUUCCUCUCACGAGGUGCCCAGCAGCCCUGGGGGUCCUGGACAAAGACAGUGGACCUGUGCCCACGGGCUAACAAAGCAACUGGGGAAGCACCCAUUUUGGUUACCACUUUCAUUCCACUUCUUCCAGGACUCACCCUCUACUUCCAUUCAGUGUACAAUCUAAAGCCUGCUGUCUAUAAAAUCCCUGUUCCAGGAGGAAGAGAAGAAAACAAGGCAUGUGACAGCCAGGAACGCUGCGGUCAUUAGCAAGGUGUACUCUGAUGUGGGACAGAGAGAAUUCAUCAGAUUUUAUCACAAUCUGUAUAAAACAUCCCUUCCAAUUAUGCAGUUCUUUUUCUUACCAUUCUUCUAAGUAAUUAUUUUAUUUUCCAGGUAGCCUGAGGCCAGCAAGGGGCUGCUGGGUGAGUCUGUUUCUCACCAGAUCCCAUUGUCUUUGAGCCUUGUGGCAAAAACAGAAACAGGCAGAAGCUAAAAGGCUGAUUUUGAAGGGCACCUGUUAACAGGGUAAUGCUGUGAGUGACAGGGGCCAGGGAACAGGAGUGGCGGUCACACUCCCCUGGUCAUGAACACUGGAGCUUCCGGGUUUGUACUCCGGUCUCCUGUGAGUUAGGCUCGUGAGAGUCUCUGAAACUCUGAUCAAUACCAAGAGCUCUGGAGUUCCCAUCGUGGCUCAGUGGUAACAAAUCCAACUAGUAUCCAUGAGGACAUGGGUUCCAUCCCUGGCCUUGAUCCAUGGGUUGAGGAUCUGGGGUUUCUGUGAGCUAUGGUGUAGGUUGCAGAUGUGGCUCGGAUCUGGCAUUGCUGUGGCUGUGGCGUAGGCUGGCAGCUAUAGCUCCGAUUUCACCCCUAUCCUGGGAACUUCCAUAUGCGGCAGGUGUAGCCCUAAAGGGGGAAAAAAAAAGAUAUUGGUAUUUACUAAGAAAUGCCAUAGUGUACAUGCCAUAGUGUGGGAGGUGGAAUAAUGGUCCACUAUGACGUCCACAUCUCAGUGACCAGAACCUGGGAAUAUAUUUUCUUAUAGUCAUUCAAAAGGAACUUUGCAGAUGUGAUUAGCUGAAGGAGUUUGAGGUGGAGAGACAACCCUGGUUAUCCGAGGGGGGUGGAUAUAAUCACAAUAUCCUCGUUAGACGGGCUCAGGAGGAGCCAGAGUGAGAGAGAAAGAGAGAGAAGGCCGUGGGAUGGUAGGAGCAGAGAUCAGAGUGGAUGUGCUUUGAAAACGGAGGAAGAAACAAGAGCCAGAAUCUAGCGGUCUCUAGAAAUUGGAAAAAGCAAGAAAACAGAAUCUUCCCUGGAGCCUCCAGGAGGAACCAGCCCUGCUGACCCCUUGCCCAGUGAAAACUGAUGGCCGAAGCCUAAAUGCCAGACCUCUGCAAGCAUAAAUGUGUGUUGUUUCAAGCCACCAAAUGUGUGAGAAUUUGUUACAGCAACAAUAGAACACUGAUACAGUUGGAAAACAUGCAAAAUGAAAACAAAAUUUGAUCCAGGACAGAGAUUAAGUAGCUGUGAAACAGAAAGAACUUUUAGAAAAUGGAGAGGGAAGUUCCCAUCGUGGUGCAGCAGAAACAAAGCAGACGAGGAACCAUGAGGUUGCGGGUUCGACCCCUGGCCUCGCUCAGUGGGUUAAGGAUCCGGCAUUGCCCUGAGCUUCAGUGUAGGUCACAGGCACAGCUCGGAUCCCGCACUGCUUGGCUGUGGUGUAGGCCAGCAGCUGUAGCGCUGAUCAGACCCCUAGCCUGGGAACCUCCCUGUUCUAUGGGUGAGACCCUAAAAAGACAAAAAAAAAAAAGGGGAAAUAGAGAGGGCAGAGGGAACAUUAAUGGACUCUCCCCCUUUGCCUCUAAUUAACCAAGGAGUUUAUAUUAAAACAAAGAAAUGGACAAAACCUGAGGCCAGAGAUGAAAGACAUGGGAAAUGAGGGUCAGGAUAAAAACCUUAUGGUCUCUGGAGGAGACAGUUUGGGGGGUGGAGGGAUGUGCUUGGGUUGUGGGAUGGAAAUCCUGUGAAAUUGGAUUGUGAUGAUCAUUAUACAACUACAGAUGUGAUAAAUUCAUUUGAGUAAUAAAAAAAAAUUCCCUCAAAAAAAAAAAAAAGAUCCUGACCUUCCCCCAAAGAGUUCAGAUGGCUAGAUUUUGAGCCACUGAGUGUGGCACUAUAGCAAAAUCUAAAGAGCUGUUUGAGGGAGGUGACUCUGAGUCACAGGGGAAUGCUGCUCUAGUGCACUCAGGUGACAGAGGUGGGGAAGGGAGGGGUGCACUGUCCCCAUUCCUCAUCCUUUCUUUCUGCACACACCGUAUUGCUGGGUAACUCUGACAUGUCAGAUGGUUGUAGGGUCCUAGCUUUCAUAGAAUUUGCUUCUAGUGGAGGCGACACACAUUACUCAAAUAAUUACAGAUUUGGUGGGACAUAACAUAAACAAUCUGUCCACAGCACCUUCCAAAACCUUAGUAUAGCCCCCCCCAGAGCCUGGGCUCCAAUGUUAAGCUUCCUCAACAUAUACCAAACCCAAGAGUCCAUACUUCCACAGCUCAGUGCAUAGGGGAUUUCAGAACACGGAGAUGUGUGGAAAAGAUGAGCUACAAAUUCAAAAUCUCCAUUUACAUAGUUUGCAUUGACUGUACUACAAGGCAUUAAUCUAUCUUUUUUCCAGGUUCUUCUAAUUUUGUUAUUCUUCCAGAUAGUAAACUCCCCAUUUCUUGCUUCAGUGGUAGGGAAAAAAAUAGCUCUAAACUAAGCAUUGUUUUGGUUUUGCCUAACGAAGCUUAAAAGAAAUACCUGAAAGGAGCAAACUGUUCCUAAUUAACUUAACCAUAUCCCAGAACAACUUGAGAAUACAUCUAGGGAGACAAUAAUAGCCGGCAUGCAGAAGGUAAAAUUUGUCAUGUAUAGAAUUCAAUAAAAAUCACCAGGCAAAGAAAUAAGAACAUGUGAUUCAUAAUAAGGAGAAUAAUCAAUCAAUGCCAACAACCCAGAACUUGACACAGAUGAUAGAAUUAAUAGACAAGGACAUAAAAACAAGUAUGAUAACUGUAUUCCAUAUAUUCAAAAGAUUAAAGGGAAGUUUGAACAUGUUAAGUAUAGACAUGGACAAUAUAAAAAGAGUCAAAUCAAAUUUCUAGAGAUGAAAACUACAACAUCUGAGAUGGAAAUUCUCAGGAUGGGAUUCUUUGCAGAUUAGACAUCAUGGAAGAAAGUAUUGGUAAAUUUGAAUACAUAUCGAUAAACACUGCCUCACGUGAAAUACUGCAUAGAAUAAUAGCACUGGGAAAAAAUCACAGUGAGCUAUUGGGAAACUUCAAAUGGCCUAAUAUAAAUGUUAUUGGAGUCCCCCCUUUGGGGGAGAGAUAAAACAUUUGAAGUAACAAUGGCCAAAAAAUUUUCCAAGUUUGAUGAAAACUAUAAAUUAACACAUUUAGAAGCUCAGUGAACCCCAAGCAAGAGAUAGAUAAAGAAAAUAACACCAACCAUCACCUGAUUAAGUUGGAAAAAAAAAAAGGGGGAAAUCUUAAAAGCUGCUAGAGGAGGGCAAAACACAUGAUGUUAUAUAUAGAGGACAAAGAUAAGAAUUAUGGCUGGCUUCUCAGCAAUGAAAGCCAGAAGAAAGUGGAACAACAUCUUUAAAGUACUGAAAGGAGGAGUUCCUGUCAUGGUGCAGUGGAAACAAAUCUGACUAGGAAACAUGAGGUUGUGAGUUCUAUCCAUGGCCUUGCUCAGUAGGUUAAGGAUCUGGCAUUGCCGUGAGCUGUGGUGUAGGCUGGCAGCCAUAGCUCCAAUUCAGCCCUAGCCUGGGAACCUCCAUGUGCUAAAGGUGUGGCCCUAAAAAGACAAAAGACAAAAAAAUAAAAAACAAAAACAAACAAACAAAAAAUAAAAUAAAGUACUGAAAGAAAAAAUAUAUACCCACCUAGAAUUUUCAUUUUCUUUCAAAAAUGAAAACACAUUCUCAGACAUAUAAAAGUUGAAAAAUUAAUCAUCAGCAAAUUUUCACAAUAAGAAAUAUAAAAGGAAGUCCUUCAGAAGGAAAAUGACACCAUCCAGAUCUACACCAAGGGAUGAAGACCCCCAGAAAUGCUAAUUAUAUGAAUUAUGUGAUGUGCACAACUUGACCAAAGUCAGGUAGUGGCAGACCAGGGACUUGAGCACAGGUCUUGUAAUGCCAGGGUCAAUCUGUACAAAUACCUUGCAGCUAUGCAUAAUGCCAUGUCAUUUAUUUAAUUAACAAACACUUAUACACCUCUUUUGUACAAAGUACUAUGCAAAACUGGCAAUACAGGGGGAUCCAAGAGUAAAUAAAAUAAGUGCUCUCCUCCCAAAGGAGUUUACAUUCUAUCUGGGGAAUCAAACAUGGAAAGGAAGGGGCUAAAUUUAGGGAAAGACAUGGAAAGUUCUGAGAAUAACCUGAGAAUGGAGCAGUACCAUCAACAUUAUGAAUUAGAG
rnacentral:lncRNA from 9 species